GGGUGCCAAUACCUUUGAUUUUCUCCAUCCCAAUUUUUUUCAAAAUUUCUUUGGUGUACUUAUUUUAGUUGAUGAAGAUCUCCUCUUUCUUUUGCUUGAUUUAGAACAAUCUUGACACAAGACUUUAUUAGUUGCAUAAAAAAUUAUAUCAUAUAUAUAAAUUUGUGCAAUUAAGAGAUCAAUUUGUUUACUUUUAAUAAACAAGCUUGUAUGAAUAUUUUUUCUUUUAAAAUCAUUUUCAAGAAAAAAAAUUAUUUAAUCUUUCAUAUCAA
rnacentral:lncRNA from 1 species